AGCCAUGUGGUGAGUGAGCACAAAGCAAACUAUUCUUUCGCCUUUUACUAAAGAAUACCGUGUGCUCUCCAUGCCAAGUGGUAUAUAUUUUUUUUUGGCAAAAAAGAAAAAAAAAACUG